rnacentral:rRNA from 1 species
UACAGAGGGGGCAAGCGUUAUUCGGAAUUAUUGGGCGUAAAGGGCGCGUAGGCGGCUAUUCAAGUGGCGGGGGGAAUCCCUCGGCUUAACCGAGGAACUGCCAAGUGAAACUGUGGAGCUAGAGUGUGGAAGGGGCAAUCGGAAUUCUUGGUGUAGCGGUGAAAUUCGUAGAUAUUGGGAAGAACACCAGUGGCGAAGGCGGCUAACUGGUCCAGAUCUGACGCUGAGGCGCGAAAGCGUGGGGAGCAAACAGG